rnacentral:lncRNA from 1 species
GGUGUCUCCCACUUUUCUUCUAAUAAUCAAAAAAUCAAUUCUCAAAAUCACUACCGAACAAGUUCUAUAGUAUGAUCAACAAAGAAUAUGAAGAGAAUUCAAAUACAAGAAUGUGUGGGCCCAUUAUUGACACAAUAAGUAGUAAGUUUGUCGGUCAAAGAUAUAUCAAUAAACUUACGUCCGAAAAUAGUGAAGCCAGAGAAACUUGAGCAUCUCUGAAAGCUUGGGCUCGAUAUUCAACCUAAGUUGAGGACUGAGUCCUAAACGUGUGCUUCGAGAACACAAGGAAACAACAUUGCCACCCAUAUGACAAGAUAAGUCCAAAAAAUUAGUGACAUGAAGAUAUUGAUUGUGUACAAAGAGAGUUAAUAGCCCAAAUUUGUUAUUAAAUUUUGUAAAAAGUUUUCACAUGGUUAUUAAACUUUAAAAAUCAUUUAAAUCAUUACUGAACUUUGUAAAAGAUUUUCACGAGAUCACUGAACUUUAAAAAUCAUCUCAUUCAUCACUAAACUUUACAAAAAAGUUUCCCAAAGAAUCAUUAAUUUAGUGAUCGUUGGAAACAUUUUGCAAAGUUCAAUGACCCCGUAAAUUUUUUUGCAAAAUGUUUCGAGCGAUCACUAAAUUAAUGAUUCUUUGGGAAACUUUUUUGCAAAAUUUAGUGAUGAAUGAGAUCAUUUUUAAAGUUUAGUAAUCCCGUGAAAACUUUUUGUAAAGUUCAAUAAUGAUUUUAGUGAUUUUUAAAGUUUAGUGACCAUGUGAAAACUUUUUAUAAAGUUCAAUUACCAUUUUGGUUAUUAACCCAUACAAAGAAGAGUCCAUAGCAAAGUGCAACUGUGCAUGUAUAUUACAGAUGGUAAAGUAGGUAUAGUGUCGUGUAGAAACAAUGUCAUGGAGGUCGACAAUACUGAGGGUCCAUUUGAUUGUAAAGAUGGAAUUGAAUUGAAUUGAAAACGAAUUAUAGGAAAUUGAAUAACCUAAAAAUUGUUUUUCUGUGAAUUGUAAAUUAUUGCGGUUGAUUGGUA